rnacentral:rRNA from 1 species
AGCGAACGCUGGCGGCAGGCCUAACACAUGCAAGUCGAGCGCCGUAGCAAUACGUAGCGGCAGACGGGAGAGUAACACGUGGGAACGUACCCUUUGGUUCGGAACAACCCAGGGAAACUUGGGCUAAUACCGGCUAAGCGCUAACUGGGAAAGAUUCAUCGCCGAAGGAACGGCCCGCGUCUGAUUAGCUAGGUGGUGGGGUAAUGGCCCGCCGAGGCGACGAUCAGUAGCUGGUCUGAGAGGAUGACCAGCCUCACUGGGACUGAGACACGGACUCGAGUCCUUCGGGAGGGGGCAGUGGCGAAUAUUGGACAAUGGGCGGAGGACUGUUCCAGCCAUGCCGCGUGAGUGAUGAAGGCCCUAGGGUUGUAAAGCCCUUUCGGCGGGGAAGAUAAUGACGGUACCCGCAGAAGAAGCCCCGGCUAACUUCGUGCCAGCCGCCGCCGUAAAAC